CCGCGCGUAGCUCAGUUGGAAGAGCAUUGGGCUAGUAUUCCAAAGGUCGUAGGUUCGAAUCCCACCGUGGCCGGG
rnacentral:tRNA from 1 species